AACGAACGCUGGCGGCAGGCUUAACACAUGCAAGUCGAACGCCCCGCAAGGGGAGUGGCAGACGGGUGAGUAACGCGUGGGAAUCUACCUAGUUCUACGGAACAACAGAGGGAAACUUCUGCUAAUACCGUAUACGCCCUAAGGGGGAAAGAUUUAUCGGAAUUAGAUGAGCCCGCGUAAGAUUAGCUAGUUGGUGGGGUAAUGGCCUACCAAGGCGACGAUCUUUAGCUGGUCUGAGAGGAUGAUCAGCCACACUGGGACUGAGACACGGCCCAGACUCCUACGGGAGGCAGCAGUGGGGAAUAUUGGACAAUGGGCGCAAGCCUGAUCCAGCCAUGCCGCGUGAGUGAUGAAGGCCUUAGGGUUGUAAAGCUCUUUCAGUGGGGACGAUAAUGACGGUACCCACAGAAGAAGCCCCGGCUAACUUCGUGCCAGCAGCCGCCGUAAUAC
rnacentral:rRNA from 1 species